rnacentral:rRNA from 1 species
AGGACGAACGCUGGCGGCGUGCUUAACACAUGCAAGUGGAGCGACGAACCAGGGCUUGCCCUGGGGCAGAGCCGCGAACGGGUGAGUAACACGUGGGUUACCUGCCUUGAUGACUGGGACAACCCGGGGAAACUCGGGCUAAUACCGGAUGUGCCCGCAAGGGGAAAGGAAGCUUCGGCCUCCGCAUCAAGAUGGGCCCGCGGCCCAUUAGCUUGUUGGUGAGGUAACGGCUCACCAAGGCUUCGAUGGGUAGCUGGUCUGAGAGGACGAUCAGCCACACUGGGACUGAGACACGGCCCAGACUCCUACGGGAGGCAGCAGUGGGGAAUCUUGCGCAAUGCGCGAAAGCGUGACGCAGCAACGCCGCGUGGGGGAAGAAGGCUUUCGGGUUGUAAACCCCUUUCAGUUUGGGACGAAGCUUCUUCGGUGAAUAGCCGAACGGAGUGACGGUACCUUCACAAGAAGCACCGGCUAACUACGCGCCAGCAGCCGCGGU